AGCAGUCGCCGCGGUAAUACGGAGGGAGCUAGCGUUGUUCGGAAUUACUGGGCGUAAAGCGUGCGUAGGCGGUUACUCAAGUCAGAGGUGAAAGCCCGGGGCUCAACCCCGGAACUGCCUUUGAAACUAGGUGACUAGAAUCUUGGAGAGGUCAGUGGAAUUCCGAGUGUAGAGGUGAAAUUCGUAGAUAUUCGGAAGAACACCAGUGGCGAAGGCGACUGACUGGACAAGUAUUGACGCUGAGGUGCGAAAGCGUGGGGAGCAAACAGGAUUAGAUACCCCGGUAGUCCCUGUCUCUUAUAC
rnacentral:rRNA from 1 species